UAUGUGAUCGUCUCUCGCAUAUCAAUAAGCGGAGGAAAAGAAACUAACAAGGAUUCCCCUAGUAACGGCGAGUGAAGCGGGAAGAGCUCAAAUUUGAAAUCUUAAAGGGUUUCCCUUUACGAAUUGUAGUUUAAAGAAGUGUUUUCUGUUGAGGUUUUGGUAAAAGUUCUUUGGAAUAGGACAUCAUAGAGGGUGAGAAUCCCGUAUUUGACCUUUACUUUCAACUUUGUGAUACACUUUCAAAGAGUCGGAUUGUUUGGGAAUGCAGUCCAAAAUGGGUGGUAAAUUUCAUCUAAAGCUAAAUAUUGGCGAGAGACCGAUAGCGAACAAGUACCGUGAGGGAAAGAUGAAAAGAACUUUGAAAAGAGAGUUAAACAGUACGUGAAAUUGUCAAAAGGGAAGCGUUUGACACCAGUGUUGUUUUUCUGAAAAUCAAUUAAAGAACUGUUUAUGCUAAGCUGUUUAGACUUUAUCAGCUAUCUGUUUAGUUUUGAGCUUUUCUUUAAUGCACUUUUCAGUUAACAAGUCAACAUCAAUUUCUUUUGCUGUAAAAAAGCUUGAGGAAGGUGGCUUGAGAUUCGUCUUAAGUGUUUAUAGCCUCUUGCCUAUGCAGUCGGAGAGAUUGAGGUCUGCAGCGUAGAUCCUUCGGGGCUAAAUGCAUUUGUGCUAAGUUAUAGCAUUUUAUAGACAACUUGUUGACUAUGAUUUGUCUUGUAGCUUACUCGCUUAUGUUAUUUUACCUACGCUUAGGAUGUUGAAGAUAUGCGCGACACG
rnacentral:rRNA from 1 species